rnacentral:rRNA from 1 species
GACGAUGAAUCUUCUAGCUUGCUAGAAGUGGAUUAGUGGCGCACGGGUGAGUAAUGCAUAGGUUAUGUGCCCUUUAGUCUGGGAUAGCCACUGGAAACGGUGAUUAAUACUGGAUACUCCCUACGGGGGAAAGUUUUUCGCUAAAGGAUCAGCCUAUGUCCUAUCAGCUUGUUGGUGAGGUAAUGGCUCACCAAGGCUAUGACGGGUAUCCGGCCUGAGAGGGUGAUCGGACACACUGGAACCGAGACACGGUCCAGACUCCUACGGGAGGCAGCAGUAGGGAAUAUUGCUCAAUGGGGGAAACCCUGAAGCAGCAACGCCGCGUGGAGGAUGAAGGUUUUAGGAUUGUAAACUCCUUUUGUUAGAGAAGAUUAUGACGGUAUCUAACGAAUAAGCACCGGCUAACUCCGUGCCAGCAGCCGCGGUAAUACGGAGGGUGCAAGCGUUACUCGGAAUCACUGGGCGUAAAGAGUGCGUAGGCGGGGUAAUAAGUCAGAUGUGAAAUCCUGUAGCUUAACUACAGAACUGCAUUUGAAACUGUUACUCUGGAGUGUGGGAGAGGUAGGUGGAAUUCUUGGUGUAGGGGUAAAAUCCGUAGAGAUCAAGAGGAAUACUCAUUGCGAAGGCGACCUGCUGGAACAUUACUGACGCUGAUGCACGAAAGCGUGGGGAGCAAACAGGAUUAGAUACCCUGGUAGUCCACGCCCUAAACGAUGGAUGCUAGUUGUUGCCUUGCUUGUCAGGGCAGUAAUGCAGCUAACGCAUUAAGCAUCCCGCCUGGGGAGUACGGUCGCAAGAUUAAAACUCAAAGGAAUAGACGGGGACCCGCACAAGCGGUGGAGCAUGUGGUUUAAUUCGAAGAUACGCGAAGAACCUUACCUAGGCUUGACAUUGAUA